UCAUUCUUCUUCUUCAUUCAACUGUUCGUCCAUCAGUCGCUGCUCAAGCUUCACUGUAAGCUCUCUGCACUGGAACUUGUUCCCCAAUAAUGGACACAUAUGACGUCAGUCUGGGCCAGUUAUGGCACAGUUACAGCACCCGGAUGGGGUCUGUGGAUGUAGCCCAGGUGUCACAACACACCUGAAGUUUGGCCAAAUAAAUCUUCACAAUCGUUUAUUCAUCUGCCUAUAUAUCACUGCACCCACGUGACCUCUAAGGCCCCUAAACUGGACCUUCCUCUCAAAUAGAGGACACGUUUUACGGCAGCAGGUGUAGGUGUGUCUCUAAAUCACUGCACCUGCUUCUUCUGGGCCACUUUCAGCGUUUAUGACUCGCUUUGCGCACUCCAAAGUGUUCAGUGGGCCAGAUGUGAUCCGGCUGUCACCCCUGACAUCGAGGCCGUGUUAGGUGGAGCUGUGGCUGAUCCGAAGCAGUCAACAUUCAGAGCUACCUGUGCGUCAGGUGCAACCAUGUGUCGCUAAAGAGGCUCAAGGAGGGCGCAGCUGGCGCUAAAAGUGCGCGGGAAAGUGUUUGUUUUGUGUUUAGUGACUCUGCGUUAAGCGGAGUCGUGUCUGUGAAAUCAUCCCCAAAACACGCUGAUCGGUUUCCACAUUGCGCAACAGCUCAGACGCACUGCUGCUCUCCAAAGGUCUCUCCUUUAAUUCCCCAGCAGCAGGAGGGACGCUGGAGCAGCUCCGAGGAGCACCGACGCCAAAAACACGGGAGUGUCUGCGCACAGACAAGCCAGGAUAACGUGACAGCGCAGAGAUGAAAGGCAAAUACUGGGGCCCCAGACCACUGUGGGCCCCCGAGGGCUGAUCCCGGGAGGAGAAACAAAUCGCCUUGGAGAUCUGUUAUGAAGCUUUGACUAAGUUACUCUGAGCAGCAACGUGAAGGAUGUGCACCCAGCAUCCCCUGCAGGGAGGGGCCCCCUGUUCAUUUUUGCCCAGCGUCCCUGCAGACGCUAGAAUCUCCACUGCUUCCCACCACAGAUGUGAGCAGAGGUCUUAUUGGGCGCACUGCAGUGACGCUUUAAGGUUUGUCCAUCUUAAAGAGCUGAAUCAAAUUAAAGAGUCCUCCUCCCUCCAUUGUUUGUGUUCCACCUGUGCCUCCUGACUACACCUCCUUCUUCAAACCUCCUCUCCCCUGCAGAUACAUUACAGUGGUGUCACUGGUGUUGUGACCUUUCAGUAUUGUGUACAGAGACUGAUUUCUGGGUUACAGGCAAUAAAAAAGCCUUUGGUUUUCCUCUUAACGAUUUGAGUUUAGCUUCUUUUUAUUUCGGGUUGAAGUGAGUAAAGUUUC